rnacentral:sRNA from 17 species
GACGACCUCGGAAGAGCGAUCCGAGUGUUGGCAGAACCCCUGUCUCCUGCGUGAGCGAUCGCGGGAGACACCGUUCUGUGCAACGGAAUUCUGAAGACACUUGGUGUGUUCGUAGGGAAACUACGUAACACGGCGAACGUAUGUUCACCGAUGCCGCAUCGCUCGGGAAGGACAGAGUUCUUCUCGCGGCCUCAGUAGCCUCC